CAUUGAGGUGGGCCUAAACUAUUGCCUACUGUGAUCAUGGCAAUGUGGCCUACAGAAAGUAUUCCAGUGCCUGAGUCCACAGUGGCUGUCCUGAAACUAGGGUGGGCCUUUGGCUGAGUCCAUGAAAACCUGCCUCUGCUGGAGUGGGACUGGAUCUGAGACCACUGGAGCAGUCCUGAAGCCUGAAUUUGUAGCAUCACAAGAAACUGUUCAGUGCUAAUUUACUGAACAUAGAAAGGUAGCUGAGCCAGUCCCUCUCCCUGGGAAACAAGUUCAGACAGGCUAGUUCUCUGCUGCUCCAAUACAGGCUACUGGCCUGAGCCUGCUCUUGAUACAGGUUUUAAAUUUUUUUAAAUAAAAUACUCCAUGUACUCAAGACUGAUUAAAACUUGAAGUAUGCUGGUUGGCUACACACAAACAUACCAAAUCUUUGCAGUCUUCCAGUUUCUUUAGAUUCUGAAAAUUUUAGUCAUGCAUACUGUGUACUUUGACCAUAUUUUAUGGUCCUAAUCAUACACUUAUUAAGUGGUGUGAGUUUAUUUAUAUCUAGCCAGAUUUCAAUGAAGAUUCCUUUGGUUCUAAUCACUCAGAGUUUCCAUGGAAUCGUGUGCCUUCUUAAAUCCAUAGUAUUAAAAUGCUGGGUUGGGGGUGAGAAUAUAAGAAUGUGGUUUUAAAGCAUUCUUAUGCUUUUUGCAAAUGGAGUAACAUAGAUAUAAAUACCAUAACCAAAAGUACAGUCAAGUCCCAUAAUAAAAAACACAACCCAGUUUCUUUGUUAAUAAAUGAAUAUUUAGCUAAUGAGCCCUAUUCUUGUUGUUUCCUUCUCUCCCCUCCUGUCUGCAUUGAUGAAAUCUGUCUUCUAGCAAACUCUUUUAAACUCAUCCCCUAUGCUCCUGUGCUUUUAAAAGUAGCUGGUUUAAGACAGAGAUUGAUGGAUGUGUAGAAAGCUAGAGAAAGGAAGUUGUAGGCAAAAAUACAUGUCCUCCUUGCGUGGUCUUCUUAGGGGCCUGAAAGGAUCGCUCAUUGAUUAAUAAAGACCGUUGCUCUUGCAGAGGUUCAGAAUUCAGUGCCCAGCCCCCACAUGGAGGGAGUGGCUUACCUGUGACUCUAGUUCUAGAAUGAUCCCUCACCUCUGACCUCCAUGACAUACACUGUCACUCAUGUCCACAAACCUACAGGCAGAUAAACUCACAUACGUGUAAUUAAAAAUGAUAGAAGUAGGGCUGGAGGCUGGGGGUAGUGUAACACAUCCUACCACGUGGCAGGCAGAGACAGGAUGAACCUGAUGACUUGGAGGCCAGCUUGAUUUAUGUAGCGAGUUUAGGUCAUCCAAAGCUAUACAGUGAGAACCUGUCUGAAAAAAACCAACAACC
rnacentral:lncRNA from 1 species